AUUGAACGCUGGCGGCAGGCCUAACACAUGCAAGUCGAACGAGUGGCGGACGGGUGAGUAAUGUAUGGGAAACUGCCUGAUGGAGGGGGAUAACUACUGUAAACGGUAGCUAAUACCGCAUACCAUCAGAUGUGCCCAGAGGGGAUUAGCUAGUUGGUGGGGUAACGGCGCACCAAGGGGACGAUCCCUAGCUGGUCUGAGAGGAUGACCAGCCACACGGGAACUGAGACACGGUCCAGACUCCUACGGUAGGCAGCAGUGGGGAAUAUUGGGCAAUGGGCGAAAGUCUGAUGCAGCCAUGCCGCGUGUAUGAAGAAGGCUUUCGGGUUGUAAAGUUCUUUCAGCGGAGAGGCGUUACCCACAGAAGAAGCACCGGCUAACUCCGUGCCAGCAGCCGCGGUAAUAC
rnacentral:rRNA from 1 species